rnacentral:rRNA from 1 species
AUUGAUUUUAUGCUUGCAUAAAUGAUUUUUGGAUUCGGAGCGAGUGGCGAACUGGUGAGUAACACGUGGGUAACCUGCCCCGAAGCGGGGGAUAACAUUUGGAAACAAGUGCUAAUACCGCAUAAUUAGUUGGAACCGCGUGGUUCCAACUUGAAAGAUGGCUCUGCUAUCACUUUGGGAUGGACCCGCGCCGUAUUAGUUAGUUGGUGAGAUAAAAGCCCACCAAGACGAUGAUACGUAGCCGACCUGAGAGGGCAAUCGGCCACAUUGGGACUGAGACACGGCCCAGACUCCUACGGGAGGCAGCAGUAGGGAAUCUUCCACAAUGGACGAAAGUCUGAUGGAGCAACGCCGCGUGAGUGAUGAAGGUUUUCGGAUCGUAAAACUCUGUUGUUAAAGAAGAACAAGUGUUAGAGUAACUGUUAACACUUUGACGGUAUUUAACCAGAAAGCCACGGCUAACUACGUGCCAGCAGCCGCGGUAAUACGUAGGUGGCAAGCGUUGUCCGGAUUUAUUGGGCGUAAAGCGAGCGCAGGCGGUUUUGUAAGUCUGCUGUGAAAGCCCUCAGCUCAACUGGGGAAGUGCAGUGGAAACUACAAAACUUGAGUACAGAAGAGGAAAGUGGAACUCCAUGUGUAGCGGUGAAAUGCGUAGAUAUAUGGAAGAACACCAGUGGCGAAGGCGGCUUUCUGGUCUGUUACUGACGCUGAGGCUCGAAAGCAUGGGUAGCGAACAGGAUUAGAUACCCUGGUAGUCCAUGCCGUAAACGAUGAAUACUAGGUGUUGGAGGGUUUCCGCCCUUCAGUGCCGCAGCUAACGCAUUAAGUAUUCCGCCUGGGGAGUACGACCGCAAGGUUGAAACUCAAAGGAAUUGACGGGGGCCCGCACAAGUGGUGGAGCAUGUGGUUUAAUUCGAUGCUACGCGAAGAACCUUACCAGCUCUUGACAUCUUCUGCCAACCCAAGAGAUUGGGCGUUCCCUUCGGGGACAGAAUGACAGGUGGUGCAUGGUUGUCGUCAGCUCGUGUCGUGAGAUGUUGGGUUAAGUCCCGCAACGAGCGCAACCCUUAUUAUUAGUUGCCAGCAUUUAGUUGGGCACUCUAGUGAGACUGCCGGUGAUAAA